CGGCUUAUUAAAUGCCUGGGUAAAUCGUGCCGCUCAACGGUACGAAUUCCGGGUAGACUGGUAAGCUUGAGACUGGGAGAAGCUAGAGGUACUCCUGGGGUAGAGGUGAAAUUCUGUAAUCCUAGGGGGACCACCGGUGGCGAAAGCGUCUAGCUAGAACGGGUCUGACGGUGAGGGACGAAGCCCUGGGGCGCAAACCGGAUUAGAUACCCGGGUAGUCCAGGGUGUAAACGCUGCUUGCUUGAUGUUAGUCGGGCUCCGAGCCCGAUUAGUGUCGGAGUGAAGAUGUUAAGCAAGCUGCCUGGGAA
rnacentral:rRNA from 1 species